rnacentral:lncRNA from 7 species
UUUCUUAAUUAGAAGAAAAUACUGUUGAAAGGCUACUUUUCCUGAAGUCAUCCAAGGAAGAAAGGUGUUUUAUUGGGGCUGGUCUGUUGGUGGAUGUUCACGUUGACCAGAUGAUGUUGAUGGGCACCCAAGCAAGCAGAAAUAGUGAAGUAUAUUUCCUGCUAAUUUAUCACUCAAAAUUCUGAGCUCUGAGCUAAAUUUCGGUGUGGAUAAAGAGGGAACUGGAAGAAAAGACAAUGGGAAGAUAAAAGAGAUCAAAAAUAGCUACUGAAAUGUCAGAACUUCUGCUGGGACACAAAUUGUGAUUACUGAGGGCUAUUUGUAGAGAAAGUUGAACUGUCAAUGGGAAGGAGAAUCCGUACUGGUAUCAGCAGUGACUCAAUGAAUGAAGAGCCUAUUGCUGCAAAGUAAUCUGUCUGCAAAAAAACUACUGAUUCUGCCAGAGGAGAACGCUCAGUGGGAAGCUGAGGUCACAUCAAUACAUCUUUCUAUCACUUUAGAAAUUUUAUUAUGAAGACUAAAGCAUUCACAAAGGUAACUCUUGUUACUUUUUUGUUCUUUUUUCUUUUCUACAUGGAUGCUGGUACACACAUCUCAAAGAAAUUACACUUAAUGUAAAAAACAAGAUAUAAAGAUUCUGUUAUCAACAUUAACUCUCUGUGUAGUGCUUUCUGGGGUUCUGUGAUGGCAGAAGAUUGAAUUUCCAUGACAACAUUAGCAAAUAUAUUCCUUUUUGGUUCGCUUAAGUUGGUACUUUUUGCCGAACCCAGCAGGUGAUGCUGGCAACUGUGAAGCUCAAUGCAUACUGAAGUCAAAUGAGAACUUAACUGUAUAAAGAUUUAGGAUGAGAUGCUUAAAUGAUUUUCAGGGUUGCAAUGAGCACUAGCCAAGAAAUCUGUAGUUCUCUCUGGAUUUAUAAUAGUCAAAUAUAAGGGAUAAAAAUAUAAGAUAGCAUGAUUUCAUUUAGUAAUCGUAAUGAAUUCUGGCAUGUAUCUGCAGCUGAAGAUACCACACAUGGCCCUACUGUUGCUUUCACUUACAAAUUAAUUACAAAUAUUUGGGUGUAAAGGUCUUUUUGGAGAAAGAAUAUUUGAGUCUAUUUGAGCUUUGUGUCUAACUCAAACUUGUCAUGUAAUUUUAGCAUCUUAUUUUCCUGCUACAUGUUUGUCAUCGUAGGUUUGUCCUAUGAGAC